rnacentral:rRNA from 1 species
GACGAAGGGGGCUAGCGUUGUCCGGAUUUACUGGGCGUAAAGAGCGCGCAGGCGGUCGUUCAAGUCGCGUGUGAAAGCCCCCGGCUCAACUGGGGAGGGUCACGCGAUACUGAUCGACUCGAAGGCAGGAGAGGGUAGUGGAAUUCCCGGUGUAGUGGUGAAAUGCGUAGAUAUCGGGAGGAACACCAGUGGCGAAGGCGACUACCUGGCCUGUUCUUGACGCUGAGGCGCGAAAGCUAGGGGAGCAAACGGG